GAUGAACGCUGGCGGCGUGCCUAAUACAUGCAAGUCGAGCGAACAGACGAGGAGCUUGCUCCUCUGACGUUAGCGGCGGACGGGUGAGUAACACGUGGAUAACCUACCUAUAAGACUGGGAUAACUUCGGGAAACCGGAGCUAAUACCGGAUAACAUGUUGAACCGCAUGGUUCAACAGUGAAAGACGGUUUUGCUGUCACUUAUAGAUGGAUCCGCGUCGCAUUAGCUAGUUGGUAAGGUAACGACUUACCAAGGCAACGAUGCGUAGCCGACCUGAGAGGGUGAUCGGCCACACUGGAACUGAGACACGGUCCAGACUCCUACGGGAGGCAGCAGUAGGGAAUCUUCCGCAAUGGGCGAAAGCCUGACGGAGCAACGCCGCGUGAGUGAAGAAGGUCUUCGGAUCGUAAAACUCUGUUAUUAGGGAAGAACAAAUGUGUAAGUAACUAUGCACGUCUUGACGGUACCUAAUCAGAAAGCCACGGCUAACUACGUG
rnacentral:rRNA from 1 species